CCGGGAGGAGCCUAGGUGUGCUCAGUGGAAUCAGGGCUGGACCAGGGCACUCCAGCCAGGACCUCAGGGCAGCUGCUCCGGGACCCCGCCCACUCCCUACACAUCCCCUCACCCUUCUCCCUCUGGUUCGCUGAUUCCCCGUGCUCCUGUCUUUCCUGCCUUUGGCCACUUGGACAUGAUGGCCUCACCAACAGAAAUCCCUCAUGGGGGAUUUUGAAAUUCCCAAAAGAAGGGCUCUGAUUCAUCCUGCUCAUCUUUUGGAGCCAGGACGUGUCACUCAUAGGUCAUCAGCUGUCCUUGGCCAGGUGCCCACCAUAGUGUGAAGGAGGGGAUGGCUGUGGGGUCCUGAUGCAUGGUACCCCCUUUUCUUUGCAGGGGGGGGUACAGGACAGGCUGUGAGGCCUGCCAGCCUGAGAGGGAUGGAAAGGAGGAGACCCUUCUCAUCAAGGAGAUGAGCAUGGCCGGAGAUGCCGGGCCAACAACAUUCAGGUUACUGCUGUCCGGCUCGCUGGGAUCCACUGCCCCUCAUUCCUACACUCGGCCCUGCGCCGGGCACACAGCAUCCUCCCAGCCACCCUCAUAAGUGAGCGAUAUUGUUAUCCUUGUUUCACGGAUGACAAAAUUGACUCCCAAAGGGCCUCGGGAUGGCUGGGCGGCCUGCCCGCUGGUGCCACUCUGCCCAUCAGGGUGCCCUCUCCCAUCACACCCACCUGAGGGUCUGUCUUGCAGCCGUGGUCUGGAGGGCAGCUCGGCUGUCAUCUGCGCUCUGGAGUUGAUGUCUUGCUCAAGCCUCAGAAACGUGUCAGCGUGUGGAAGAGCCUGUCAGUCAUCAUUCUAUUUCCCAGCCUCCCCGCUCUCUCUAGCCGCACUGCCCAGUACCCAGCAGCAUCAAGGGCUGAAGGCCGUGCCUCCUGAAACAGUGGUCCAAUUGCUUCGCAGCGUGGUUAUAGCCUUUGCUACCCCCAUUAGCAGCAUGAGGGGGAAAAUAAAAUUCAAAGCCCAAAU
ensembl:lncRNA